UACGUAGGGGGCAAGCGUUUGUCCGGAUUUAUUGGGCGAAAGAGCGUGUAGGCGGCCAUACAGGUCAGCUGUGAAAACUCGAGGCUCAACCUCGAGACGUCGGUUGAAACCGUAUGGCUAGAGUCCGGAAGAGGAGAGUGGAAUUCCCGGUGUAGCGGUGAAAUGCGCAGGAUAUCGGGAAGAACACCCGUGGCGAAGGCGGCUCUCUGGGACGGUACUGACGCUGAGACGCGAAAGCGUGGGGAGCGAACAGG
rnacentral:rRNA from 1 species